rnacentral:rRNA from 1 species
GACGAACGCUGGCGGCGUGCUUAACACAUGCAAGUCGAACGGAAAGGCCCUGUUUUUGUGGUGUGCUCGGGUGGCGAAAGGGUGAAUAACACGAGUGACACCUGCGCUAGCCUUUGGGAUAACUUCAGUAAACUGGGGCUAAUACCGGAUAUUAGCUCCUGCUGCACGGGGGGGGUCGGGAAGUUUCGGCGGUUGGGGAUGGACUCGCGGCUUAUCAGGUUGUUGGUGGGGUAGUGGCUUAGGAAGGCGCUGACGGGUAGCCGGCCUGAGAGGUUGACCGGACACACUGGGAAUGAGAUACGGCCCAGAAGCCGUCGGGAAGCAGGAGUGGGGAAUGGUGGCCUAUGGGCGGAAGGCUGAUGCAGCAACGACGCGUGCGGGAUGACGGCCUUCGGGUUGUAAACCGCUUUCGCCUGUGACGAAGCGUGAGUGACGGUAAUGGGUAAAGAAGCACCGGCUAACUACGUG